AGAGGUGAUGCGUAGCCGAUUGAGGCGAAGUAGGGUGAUCCCAUGCUGCCGAGAAAAGCCUCUAGCGAGUUCUUGUGUGGCCCGUACCCUAAACCGACACAGGUGGUCAGGUAGAGAAUACCGAGGCGAUCGAGUGCACUCUGGUUAAGGAACUCGGCAAAAUACCCCCGUAACUUCGGGAGAAGGGGGGCCGGAGGCUCUGAAGCUCCUUGCGGGCCAGGGGCAGCCGGUCGCAGAGACCAGGCCCAAGCGACUGUUUACUAAAAACACAGGUCCGUGCGAAGUCGUAAGACGAUGUAUACGGACUGACGCCUGCCCGGUGCUGGAAGGUUAAGAGGACCGGUUAGCCGCAAGGCGAAGCUGAGAAUUUAAGCCCCAGUAAACGGCGGUGGUAACUAUAACGGUCCUAAGGUAGCGAAAUUCCUUGUCGGGUAAGUUCCGACCUGCACGAAUGGAGUAACGACUUCCCCGCUGUCUCAACCAUAAACUCGGCGAAAUUGCAGUACGAGUAAAGAUGCUCGUUACGCGCAGCAGGACGGAAAGACCCCGAGACCUUUACUAUAGUUUGGUAUUGGUGUUCGGUACAGCUUGUGUAGGAUAGGUGGGAGACUUUGAAGCGUUCACGCUAGUGGGUGUGGAGUCGUCGUUGAAAUACCACUCUGGUUGUUCUGGAUAUCUAACUUUGGGCCAUGAUCUGGUUCAGGGACAGUGCCUGAUGGGUAGUUUGACAGUAACGGAGGCGCCCAAAGGUUCCCUCAGCCUGGUUGGCAAUCAGGUGUUGAGUGUAAGUGCACAAGGGAGCUUGACUGUGAGACUGACAUGUCGAGCAGGGACGAAAGUCGGGACUAGUGAUCUGACGGUGGCGUGUGGAAGCGCCGUCACUCAACGGAUAAAAGGUACCCCGGGGAUAACAGGCUGAUCUUGCCCGAGCGUCCAUAGCGACGGCAUGGUUUGGCACUCGAUGUCGGCUCAUCGCAUCCUGGGGCUGUAGUCGGUCCCAAGGGUUGGGCUGUUCGCCCAUUAAAGC
rnacentral:rRNA from 1 species